rnacentral:rRNA from 1 species
GAGGAAAGCUGGCGGCGUGCUUAACACAUGCAAGUCGAACGGAAAGGCCCUGCUUUUGUGGGGUGCUCGAGUGGCGAACGGGGGAGUAACACGUGAGUAACCUGUCCUUGUCUUUGGGAUAACUUCAGGAAACUGGGGCUAAUACCGGAUAGGAGCUCCUGCUGCAUGGUGGGGGGUGGAAAGUUUCGGCUGUUGGGGAUGGACUAGCGGCUUAUCAGCUUGUUGGUGGGGUAGUGGCUUACCAAGGCUUUGACGGGUAGCCGGCCUGAGAGGGUGACCGGCCACAUUGGGACUAAGAUACGGCCCAGACUCCUACGGGAGGCAGCAGUGGGGAAUAUUGCACAAUGGGCGGAAGCCUGAUGCAGCAACGCCGCGUGCGGGAUGACGGCCUUCGGGUUGUAAACCGCUUUCGCCUGUGACGACGCGUGAGUGACGGUAAUGGGUAAAGAAGCACCGGCUAACUACGUG